GAUGAACGCUGGCGGCAUGCCUAAUACAUGCAAGCCGAACGAGAGGAAGGAAAGCUUGCUUUUCUGAAUCUAGUGGCGAACGGGUGAGUAACACGUAGGUAACCUGCCCAUGUGCCCGGGAUAACUUCUGGAAACGGAUGCUAAAACCGGAUAGGUAGCAGACAAGCAUUUGACUGCUAUUAAAGUGGCUAAGGCCAUGAACAUGGAUGGACCUGCGGUGCAUUAGCUAGUUGGUGAGGUAACGGCCCACCAAAGCGACGAUGCAUAGCCGGCCUGAGAGGGCGGACGGCCACAUUGGGACUGAGACACGGCCCAAACUCCUACGGGAGGCAGCAGUAGGGAAUUUUCGUCAAUGGGGGGAACCCUGAACGAGCAAUGCCGCGUGAGUGAGGAAGGUCUUCAGAUCGUAAAGCUCUGUUGUAAGAGAAAAACGACAUUCAUAGGGAAUGAUGAGUGAGUGAUGGUAUCUUACCAGAAAGUCACGGCUAACUACGUGCCAGCCGCCGCAGUAA
rnacentral:rRNA from 1 species